UACGAAGGGGGCUAGCGUUGCUCGGAAUCACUGGGCGUAAAGCGCACGUAGGCGGAUUGCUAAGUCAGGGGUGAAAUCCUGGAGCUCAACUCCAGAACUGCCUUUGAUACUGGCGAUCUUGAGUCCGGGAGAGGUGAGUGGAACUGCGAGUGUAGAGGUGAAAUUCGUAGAUAUUCGCAAGAACACCGGUGGCGAAGGCGGCUCUCUGGGCCUUACCUGACGCUGAGGAGCGAAAGCGUGGGUAGCGAACAGG
rnacentral:rRNA from 1 species